UCAAAAGCAAAAGCUGCUUUUUCCUUUUUUUUUUAAAAUUUUUUUUAUAUUAUUUUCUAUCGCAGAGUACUGAUGCUGAAGCACCAUUCCAUAGUCCUUUGUUUUAUUAUAUAUUAUUUCAUUUCUGUCAAAAUUUCAGUUGGUGCCUCUUUCCGGCGCUACUCCUGAUUUACACGUGUUGGUAGACGUACACGUGUUCGUACUCUUGAAGAAGUAGAAGGACGGAAAAGCCGAUCUUUUUCGAUUUGCUUCCAGAAACAACGAGCUUUCUCUCGCAUCAAACCACAAGCUCUAUUUCGGAGAAACUACGAAACAUCUCGACUUCUCUCUCAGAGCCCAGCUCGAGUCCUCUGAUAAAAAGGAGAAAUGCUGAUGGAAAAUUUUCUCCGAUACUUGAUUUUCUUGGUUUGUUUCUACUGAUCUUUUGUUUCUUGGGCUGAUUGCUCUUCUUUUUCGUUAUUUUUGGUGCAGAUAUGAAGAUGAUUUGUGAAGAUGCUGUGAUUUCAUGGUACUCAUGUUCAGUUUUUGGAUUUGCUUUGAAGGAAUUUCUAGGGUUUCUUGAAACGGUGGUUUCCAGAUGGUCAUGGUCCAAUUAUCAGCCUCCCUUUCAAACACUCAGAUGAGUUCAUUGGCAGAUUUGAAGCCCCCCCCCCCCCUAGGAAGGGAAUGUUUCACUUCUCCGCGGAAUCCCUAGCCAAACUCAAAGCAAAGGCCAAUGCAGAGUCUGGCACCACCAAAAUCUCCUCCUUCCAGUUUUUAUCUGUUCUUCUCUGGCGCUCCAUUACUCGAGCGCAUUGUCAACCACCUAAUCAAGGAACCAGCUGCAGGCAUGGUCUACAAGGAAGCAUAUGCAACUAUAAAUCAGCUCUGGUUGUAAUCGUCCCAGGGAAUGGUAUAAUUUUCCAUCUUAUAGUAUACGUGAAUGGAACCAGCUGAAGGUCGAAGUUAGCAUGUUUGAUGGCUCCGUUUGACAAAUAUGCCUACUAACUGUUUGAUAAAAUGACUGUUAUUAUGGUCCUUAAAAUGAUUGUUAAGCAUAUGGUUUUCAGUGAUCGACAAUACCUAUAUAUGCAUUGGAUUUGUAUACCAGUUUCACUUGGUUGGAGGUCUUGAAAGACUCCAUUUAAUGAAUCCAAAAUGUGUAAUUCCUUUGGGGAGCGUUUGAUAACCAUUUGGUUUUCAUUUUUCAGUUUUUGCUUAGAUUUAUUUCUGGACAUGUCCAAUAAGUUCACUUUAGUAUAUAGAGAUCUAUAUAUUACAAUUUAGUAUAAAUUUAUGUAUUAUCUUCUUUUUAGGUUCUUCAAGCAUUUCACUUUAGUAUAUAGAGAUCUAUAUAUUGGAUUAAAUAUUUGUGAUUGCAUAUAUAUCCAACAUCCUUAUUCAAAACAAAUUGUGUUAAACAGAUAAUGAUAGUCAACACAGUUGUAGCUUCUGGUAUUUUCAGUAUGUUUUGAUUUACCAUUCAUCUAUGUACAAUACUUUCGCAAUCAAUAACUAUUCCCAAGUACCAUACACACUAUCAAUUCAUCAAUGAUAGUCAACUCCUUGAAAUCUUCUUGCUAUGGAUACUUAUGGUUGGAUUUUAGAUGAGGACUCUUCUUCUCUGUACGCACGCUCCUCUUUCUUCAUUCUUACCAUUUUUUUCUCUGUAGUUUGUAAUAUUUUUUUUUAUAUGCCUGCAUACCAAUGAGAACGUGAUCCCGAAUGGCUCCAAUCGACUCUUCCAAGUGACAAGAAGGAUCUGAUUAUUGGGAUUUCUUAGCAGUAGCCCUAUGGGUGAUACGAUUACAAAGGCACUAUGGGAAUCUCAUGCACACUAUUACGGUUGGACCUUCUCACUCUCUCACACACCUUUUUCUUGAAUGUUGAUCAGGUUUUAAGUAUUGUUACCUAAUUAUUCCAUUUUUGGUCAUUUUCUCAAUCAAAUUUUUUUACUGGAAAAUUCAGUUUAUAUUGAUCAAUAAACAAAAACCAGUUAAUGUCAGUGAGGUGUCUUUCUGUUUGUACAUUAUCUCACUUAGUUUGGGACUUGAUGCCAAGUUUCCAUUUAUGAGUUUAAAAUUUUUCAGUGCCAGAUUAGAUGGUUGUUUCUGUUUAGUAUCUUUUUUUUUUUUUUUUUUUUUUUGAAUUGGAUAAAAGGUUUAUCAGAUGACAUUUUAGGGGAAAAAAUUAUUGGUUAUGGGUGUCCCACAAGUCUUCUUUAUAUGUGAAAAGCUUACCCUCUAUCUUCGAUAAUUUUAACAUUGAGACACCUUUUUUACAGUGAUUUAAUGGAUGCAUACUUUCUGUUGUGUACAAUAAAUUGCAUUUGAACCUCUCCACCAAUCACAAUGGUUUGAGUCUGACAUAUUUGAUCUAAUGCCAAGAAUUAAACCAAAUGUUGAAACGUCUUUAUUCUUGCUACUGUAUGUGUGGUUAAUGUACAAUUUUGUGGUGCAGAUCAGUACCACCAAGUUGCUUCACCUUUUUGGCUAUUUGUAGGUAAAUGGUGUUGGAAUCAAUACCGAAUGGGGAUUGUUGAUGGCGAGCAUCUCAGAGGAUACUGGUGAAAAAACUUCUACACAGUUUUUUUUUCCUUUUCAUUUUUCUACUUCCACAAGUGUGGUUGUUUAAUACAUAGAAAAUCUAUUAUUUGUAGUAUUAUUUAUUAAUUCUAAGACAGUUAUCUUCAAGUAUCAA